GAGCGGAGAGAGGUAGCUUGCUACUGAUCUUAGCGGCGGACGGGUGAGUAAUGCUUAGGAAUCUGCCUAUUAGUGGGGGACAACAUUUCGAAAGGAAUGCUAAUACCGCAUACGUCCUACGGGAGAAAGCAGGGGAUCUUCGGACCUUGCGCUAAUAGAUGAGCCUAAGUCGGAUUAGCUAGUUGGUGGGGUAAAGGCCUACCAAGGCGACGAUCUGUAGCGGGUCUGAGAGGAUGAUCCGCCACACUGGGACUGAGACACGGCCCAGACUCCUACGGGAGGCAGCAGUGGGGAAUAUUGGACAAUGGGCGCAAGCCUGAUCCAGCCAUGCCGCGUGUGUGAAGAAGGCCUUAUGGUUGUAAAGCACUUUAAGCGAGGAGGAGGCUACUUUAGAUAAUACCUAGAGAUAGUGGACGUUACUCGCAGAAUAAGCACCGGCUAACUCUGUGCCAGCACGGGCCGGUAAUAAA
rnacentral:rRNA from 1 species